UGGGGGAUAUUGCACAAUGGGGGGAACCCUGAUGCAGCGACGCCGCGUGGGUGAAGGAGUGCUUCGGCAUGUAAAGCCCUAUCGGCAGGGAAGAAUAUGACGGUACCUGACUAAGAAGCCCCGGCUAACUACGUGCCAGCAGCCGCGGUAAUACGUAGGGGGCGAGCGUUAUCCGGAUUCACUGGGUGUAAAGGGAGCGUAGACGGCCAUGCAAGCCAGGGGUGAAAGCCCGGGGCCCAACCCCGGGACUGCCCUUGGAACUGUGCGGCUGGAGUGCGGGAGGGGCAGGCGGAAUUCCUGGUG
rnacentral:rRNA from 1 species